UGAGGGGGUGGUGGCAAAUUGCAUUGGAGACGCAGCAGAAGCUGUGCGAGGGACGUAAAAAGAGCAAUAUGUCAACCUUGCUGUGUUCAAGGUCCAAGAACCUAUAGAGAAAAGACUAUUUGAAUAAUCACCGUGGCCGAAGAUGGUUUCGGAAAUGGAUGUUUUCAGAACCUGGGCAUUCAGUGUGUGAAGAAAAAGGAUGUGGACGAGGUAGUUUCCUGUAGGCUGCAGACACAAAAACAACCCCUUCAACAUUCCUGAGGCGAACGUGUGGGAGGAGUUUGACCUAAAUGCAGUGAGGCUGUGUUUCCAGGCCUCGAUCACUCUGCCUACCGGGGAACUCUGACCUCUGGAGCCUGCGGUGUCCCAGCCCAUCUACGACAACAAUAAGUAUACAUAAGUUGUGACGCUCAACUACUGAAUGACCCUGUCAACGUGCCACUGAAAAGGUUGAAAGCUGCAAUUAAUUGUACGAUACCUGAAAAUACUGCAGAGUAUUUCAAAGCCGUUUGCAGACAUUGCAAACAGCAAGUCGGAUGCUUAAAACAACUUCAAACCUCUUUGUCCAUCUGAGGACCCCAGUAAUUGUAACAAAAUGGACGCCUGAAACAACGACAGAAUUUACAGAAACCUCAUACAGGCUCUAGUGCUCCGAUGUAGGUCUGUUCCAGUGCCGUUUGACAGGGCAGGUGUUUCUCAUGGAGGGGGAGGUGCUGUACAAGGCUGUCCAAUGGGACGAGAAUCUCCUGCAUUCUACAGGCCGGACUCAUGCAGGAGCCCUGUUCAGACCCUCAGGGGUCUGUCCGUCAGCUACACCUCCCACACUGUGACAUUCCCUCUGGAGAUGGUCUUGGUUCCCUGUCUGUGGCCCAUGUGACUGGUGACAGUGUGGAGGUUUUAUCGCCGCUGAGGGUGACUGACACACACACCAGCAACCUCUCCUUAUGGGGCCUUGUCAGAAAGUACAUACGGGAAGCUCUGCUCUCGAUCAAGGGGCAGGUGUUGCCUUUCCGAUCACUCCAAUCAGUUAUCAAUGUGAUCGUCCUGCCAUCAUGUGCCACUUGAACAGGUUGAAUCGGCAACAGACAGGGAACACUUACGUACAGCUCUGUUUGGGCUGCAUUCUCACUCGAGGGGAAACAUACAGUCGGAAGACUGAAGAGGAUAACCGCCAAGGUGUUGCUGGAUGCAGAUACAAAGGGUAUGGAGCUAAUAAGGCUUCUGAAAAGAGGGCUUGAUAGAGAGGUGUGGACGAAGGUGUGGACCGGGCUUGUGUGUCUGCCAGGUAAAACCUUGAAGUUAGUCUGUCAACAAGGUGUAUCCAAAUCUGAUUCAUGCCACUGUUUACCAGGUACUCCCUCUGCCCCAGGUCUAUAUCCAACCUCGUUUAGAGGGGAAGGAUGAAACCCAGCAGGGUUACAGACUUCAAGGACUGACCUCUUGUAUUUGAGAAGGGAGUCCGUAAAUCCAUCCAACCACCAUUCCCACACAGGUGAAUAUGUAUUACACACAGGUGAAUAUGUCUUCAUUUUUCUCCGACUCACAGGUUCUGUGUUAGUGGGAAGGCCUCAGGCUGAGACUAGUCAGACGGGUUCGACAGAGAGGCUGCGUUCUGUGAGGACAGAAUUUGUCAAUCGGGUGUCAGGACCUGUGCUCGACAGUUUAUUGGACAGGCUUCUGCAAUGGGAAGUUCUCAAUGAACUUGAAAUGGAGACAGUGAAGGUGAUUCCCGAGAGAGCAAAGAAGGACCGGGAAGUCAUAGCCAUGGUGCUGAGGACAUGAGCUGCUUCAUGUUUGCUAAUGAAAACCCAUCUGAUUGAACUGGACCCCUUGUUAUGCGCAAUGCUUGGUGUCCGCUGAAACAUCAUUGUAGUACGAGGCAUUGAUGAGCAUGACCAAUGAUGUCUGUGUUCAAUAAAACAUUUGGUCUGCAUUUAUUGAUUCUUUUGGAAUUAGGGUGUAAGGCUUAUCGUUUUUUUAAAAAAAAAUCAUUCAGCAUACAUGUAACCGCAAUAGACAUCGUCUUGAGCACUCUUUGAUAAGCAAACCAUGUUUAAUGUCAGGUUCACGUGCUUACUCUAACACUUUUCCUACAGUUAUUCAAAUACACCAUGUAACAUGAACUAGUGCCAGUACCGUGCAGUCACAUAUUCUAUAUGACAUGAUAAUUACCUCCAUGAUCAUGAGUAAUGAUGUAAUUGAUGCUUCAACCAUAAUAGCUAAUCAUUUUCACUGUGAACAUUCAACGCCAUAUGUAUUUGGACAGUGAAGUCAAAAUGUUACAUUUAGCUGUAUACUCCAGCAUUUUGUAUGGCUUACGGCCAUUCAAAAUGACAAUCGGAAUUGUAUAUUACUGACUGCGGGUUAUACUAAAGUAGUGGAAUAUUACCAUAUACUGUAAAGCAAGACAAGAAUACAUUGUCAUUUCAGGUGAUAUACGUGAUAAAGACAGUACUUACCUUGGUGACAGAUAUCUUAAUGUUAUGUACAGUUUUACCAAGUAUAACUUGUCAUUUUAAUUUUCAAUACAUCUUUGGAACAGGAAGGAUAUUGUUGUUUCUAAAUGUAGCAGACUCAUUCUUACAUCAUGUUAGAAGUGUCAGGAAUCAAGGUAAGACCCAGAUGCAGACUGUCGAAGUAACACUGUUUAUUGGAGCAAACAGGGGCAGGCAAAGACAGGUCAAGGCAGGCAGGGGUCGAUAAUCCAGGGUAUGGCAAAGGUACAGGACAGGGACAGGCAGAGAAGUCAGGCGGGCAGGUACAGGGUCAGGACAGGCAAUAGUCAAAAACCAGAAGAACAAGAAAAACAAGAGACUGGGGAAAAACCAGGAGUUGACAGGAAAACCGCUGGUAAACUUGACAAACAAGAUGAACCGGCAACAAACAGAACACAGGUAUAAAUACACAGGGGAUAAUUGGGAAGAUGGGCGACACCUGGUGGGGAGUGGAGACAAGGACAAGUGAACAUCACACAAAAUCACAAGGACAGGUGAAACAGAUCGGGCCGUGACAAGUAGUUUGGAGUCAGUAUCUAACAUUUCUGUGUAUCUAAAAUCACUAUUUCAGUUAUGCUCAUUCACAGUGUGGUGUGCUUUUAGACCAGUGUGAUAUUAUUUCACUUCAGCUGCAGUUAAUUUCCCAUAAUAAAUGUAGACGUUUAAAACCUAACUGGGUUGUUCCACGAAAUGUGUGUCUUUUACGUCCCUUUGAUAUUUUAAGUAGAAAUUGUGUGCAAAUAAUGGAUUUUAAAAGCCUGUUAUUUAAAAUGAAGUGCCCUUUAACCUAUUUAAUCCGUGACCGUAAAAAAAACAUUUUCAGUUAUAAGGCUCUAAAAAUGUUACUGAAUGAUCUAUCAAUGCAUUUCCAGCAAAUAUUGAAAUAAUAAAGGGUCUCAAUGAAUGAAGUGCAGUGUCACAUUUUUAGUGUAAAUUGUCACAUGACCAGAGUUGUUUACUUCCUGGUUGCACCAUGACAGAGAAUGGCUGCAUCAAAGUUCCCAAACAAAAGUUUCACUUUGAGUCAAGUUCUGGAUAUGUUGGAUCUAGGUGACUGCCAAGACAAGGUGUGCAACAUUGCAGUUAUCCCUCAAAAUGAGAACGAUGCUGUCCUGAGUGAUUGUGAUAGCGAUGGGUCAGAUAUGGACUAUGGACAGGCCAUUUGCCAGCCAGACUGUUGAAUGCAUAUGCGGAACAUAUGCAAACAGAUCAUGACAGGAACAACGUUAUCAGUGAUGAUGACCUACCCCCCCUCCCCAAUCCACAAUCUUUCCCACCCCCCUCCAUUGUUGGUAAUGAAGAGCCAAGGGCCUCUACAAGCCAUAGGGGUCAGCCAGAAGAGCCAAGGGAAAAGCUGCAGGUGGUCAAAAAUAAACGAUCGAAGAGACCUGGCAUUGAUGUGAUUCCAAAACACAUAGUGUACAGGCCAAAUAUGCAAAAGUUUGGCACAAAACCACUGAGCCACGGAAGGAGGUCUUUACUGGCUGCUACUGUUGAAGAUCAGGCAAGAUAUGACAAAGCUUCUCACUGGCCAAUCAACACGAUGCACCGGUUCCAGAGAAGUCGUCACUGUGACAAACACACUACCUAUGCAUGUGAGAAAUGGAAAGUGCCACUGCACAUUGAGUGCUUCAAGAUAUACCAUGGACCGAAUAGAAAAGGAGAUAACGGGUGAGGAGAAGCAGUACAAUGGACUCUAGGAAGAAAAGCACUCAUUGUCUCGUAUAAGCAUUCAUUGGCCAGUGGCGCUUUUGAAAUACAAUUUUAUAUAUAUAUAUUUUGUUCAAUGUAGGCCUCUACUUGAAUGCAUAUUCUACAGGCUACCUCUGUCCUAAAUGUUACCUUUAUGUUCAGUGGGAAUGAAUCACAUGACUGCUAUACAGUUGUUAGUGAAUGUUGCACUAAAAUGUCACAAUGACAAUGUUACAAUGAAUAUUGCACUAAAGUACAAGUUCAACUGUUACAAUAAAGUUACAAUAUUAAGGUUUCAGUACAUGUUGCACUAAAGUAACAAUGUUGAAAUAC